GCCUGUUUAUCAAAAACAUGGCCUUUUGAUUUGGAUUUAAUGAAAGGUUUAGCCUGCCCGGUGAUUGAAAGAAUUUAACGGCUGCGGUUUUGUACUAAGGUAGCAUAAUAAUUUGCCUUUUAAGUGGGGGAUGGAAUGAAUGGUUGGAUGGUAAAGAAGCUGUGUUUUUAAUAUUUGAUGAAGUUUACUUUAAAGUGAAAAGGCUUUAAUUGUUUUAAAAGACGAGAAGACCCCGUCGAGCUUGAUUUGAAAUGUUGUUUUGUGGAUGAGUAAACAGUUUUAAAGUUUUGUUGGGGCAACAAUAACGGUUAAACGUUGUUUAAUUUUAAGUUUUGAUCCAGUAAGAUUGAAAAAAGAAAAAGCUACCGCGGGGAUAACAGGGUAAUUUUUUUUGAGAGUUCAAAUCUAAAAUGAAGAUUGCUACCUCGAUGUUGGAUUAGGAUAGUUUUAUGCUUGCAGGAGGUAUAA
rnacentral:rRNA from 1 species